rnacentral:lncRNA from 1 species
GGGAGCCGACCCCAUGCUACCUUCCAGAUGAAAAGGCACACCCUUGAUGAGUACCAAGUGUCCAGAUCCAAGCACCCUCCAUCCGUUUGACCGUCUCCUCCUUGUAUAAGUCAAACAGGUCCCUAGUUACCACCCUGGGAUGCAAGAUGAUCACCAGACCCUAACAUUCGGAUCCUCAGCAGAUGGUAUCACCUAGGUUAUAAUCCUCUCGACCAGUUAUCCACUAA